UUUAUGGAGAGUUUGAUCCUGGCUCAGGAUGAACGCUGGCGGCGUGCCUAAUACAUGCAAGUCGAGCGAACGGACGAGAAGCUUGCUUCUCUGAUGUUAGCGGCGGACGGGUGAGUAACACGUGGAUAACCUACCUAUAAGACUGGGAUAACUUCGGGAAACCGGAGCUAAUACCGGAUAAUAUUUUGAACCGCAUGGUUCAAAAGUGAAAGACGGUCUUGCUGUCACUUAUAGAUGGAUCUGCGCUGCAUUAGCUAGUUGGUAAGGUAACGGCUUACCAAGGCAACGAUGCAUAGCCGACCUGAGAGGGUGAUCGGCCACACUGGAACUGAGACACGGUCCAGACUCCUACGGGAGGCAGCAGUAGGGAAUCUUCCGCAAUGGGCGAAAGCCUGACGGAGCAACGCCGCGUGAGUGAUGAAGGUCUUCGGAUCGUAAAACUCUGUUAUUAGGGAAGAACAUAUGUGUAAGUAACUGUGCACAUCUUGACGGUACCUAAUCAGAAAGCCACGGCUAACUACGUGCCAGCAGCCGCGGUAAUACGUAGGUGGCAAGCGUUAUCCGGAAUUAUUGGGCGUAAAGCGCGCGUAGGCGGUUUUUUAAGUCUGAUGUGAAAGCCCACGGCUCAACCGUGGAGGGUCAUUGGAAACUGGAAAACUUGAGUGCAGAAGAGGAAAGUGGAAUUCCAUGUGUAGCGGUGAAAUGCGCAGAGAUAUGGAGGAACACCAGUGGCGAAGGCGACUUUCUGGUCUGUAACUGACGCUGAUGUGCGAAAGCGUGGGGAUCAAACAGGAUUAGAUACCCUGGUAGUCCACGCCGUAAACGAUGAGUGCUAAGUGUUAGGGGGUUUCCGCCCCUUAGUGCUGCAGCUAACGCAUUAAGCACUCCGCCUGGGGAGUACGACCGCAAGGUUGAAACUCAAAGGAAUUGACGGGGACCCGCACAAGCGGUGGAGCAUGUGGUUUAAUUCGAAGCAACGCGAAGAACCUUACCAAAUCUUGACAUCCUUUGACAACUCUAGAGAU
rnacentral:rRNA from 1 species